rnacentral:rRNA from 1 species
UACGAAGGGGGCUAGCGUUGCUCGGAAUCACUGGGCGUAAAGGGUGCGUAGGCGGGUCUUUAAGUCAGGGGUGAAAUCCUGGAGCUCAACUCCAGAACUGCCUUUGAUACUGAAGAUCUCGAGUCCGGGAGAGGUGAGUGGAACUGCGAGUGUAGAGGUGAAAUUCGUAGAUAUUCGCAAGAACACCAGUGGCGAAGGCGGCUCACUGGCCCGGUACUGACGCUGAGGCACGAAAGCGUGGGGGGCAAACAGG